rnacentral:rRNA from 1 species
GUGGGGAAUAUUGCACAAUGGGGGAAACCCUGAUGCAGCGACGCCGCGUGAGUGAAGAAGUAAUUCGUUAUGUAAAGCUCUAUCAGCAGGGAAGAAAAUGACGGUACCUGACUAAGAAACCCCGGCUAACUACGUGCCAGCAGCCGCGGUAAUACGUAGGGGGCAAGCGUUAUCCGGAUUUACUGGGUGUAAAGGGAGCGUAGACGGCCGUGCAAGUCUGAUGUGAAAGGCUGGGGCUCAACCCCGGGACUGCAUUGGAAACUGUAUGGCUGGAGUGCCGGAGAGGUAAGCGGAAUUCCUAGUGUAGCGGUGAAAUGCGUAGAUAUUAGGAGGAACACCAGUGGCGAAGGCGGCUUACUGGACGGUAACUGACGUUGAGGCUCGAAAGCGUGGGGAGCAAACAGGAUUAGAUACCCGAGUAGUCC